rnacentral:rRNA from 1 species
UACGUAGGGGGCAAGCGUUGUUCGGAAUCAUUGGGCGUAAAGGGCGCGUAGGCGGCCAUGCGUGUCUUUCGUGAAAUCCCUCGGCUUAACUGAGGACGUGCGGAAGAAACUGCAAGGCUUGAGUCCGGGAGAGGGGGGUGGAAUUCCCAGUGUAGCGGUGAAAUGCGUAGAUAUUGGGAGGAACACCGGUGGCGAAGGCGGCCCCCUGGACCGGUACUGACGCUGAGGCGCGAAAGCGUGGGUAGCAAACGGG